UGAUAUUUUGACAUAUGUAAGCAAUGUA
rnacentral:piRNA from 1 species